AUUGCCCUAGUAACGGCGAGUGAAGCGGCAACAGCUCAAAUUUGAAAUCUGGCCCUCGGGUCCGAGUUGUAAUUUGUAGAGGAUGAUUUUGGUUAGGUACCUUCCGAGUUCCUUGGAACAGGACGCCUUAGAGGGUGAGAGCCCCGUACGGUUGGAUGCCGAGCCUCUGUAAAUCUCCUUCGACGAGUCGAGUAGUUUGGGAAUGCUGCUCUAAAUGGGAGGUAAAUUUCUUCUAAAGCUAAAUACCGGCCAGAGACCGAUAGCGCACAAGUAGAGUGAUCGAAAGAUGAAAAGCACUUUGAAAAGAGGGUUAAAUAGUACGUGAAAUUGUUGAAAGGGAAGGGCUUGUGACCAGACCUUUGCCUUGCGGAUCAUCCGGUGUUCUCACCGGUGCACUCCGCUUGGUUGAGGCCAGCAUCAGUUUCGGCGGCGGGAUAAAGACUUCAGGAACGUGACUCCCCCGGGAGUGUUAUAGCCUGCUGUGUAAUACCGCCGCUGGGACUGAGGACCGCGCUUCGGCUAGGAUGCUGGCAUAAUGGUCAUCAGCCACCCGUCUUGAAACACGGACCAAGGAGUCGAACAUUUAUGCGAGUUUUUGGGUGUUAAACCCUCAAGCGUAAUGAAAGUGAACGGAGGUGAGAGCCCUUACGGGCGCAUCAUCGACCGAUCCUGAUGUCUUCGGAUGGAUUUGAGUAAGAGCAUAACUGUUCGGACCCGAAAGAUGGUGAACUAUGCGUGGAUAGGGUGAAGCCAGAGGAAACUCUGGUGGAGGCUCGCAGCGGUUCUGACGUGCAAAUCGAUCGUCAAAUCUGCGCAU
rnacentral:rRNA from 1 species